UGGGACUGCUUCCUCAGUGCCUUCCAGUGU
rnacentral:piRNA from 1 species